rnacentral:rRNA from 1 species
CGAGCGUACGGAUUCGGUUGGGCCUUUCCUUCUGGGGAUCCCGAUGUUCUUCAUUGCGCGUCGCGGGGAACCAGGACUUUUACCUUGAAAAAAUUAGAGUGUUCAAAGCAGGCCUUUGCUCGAAUACAUUAGCAUGGAAUAAUAGAAUAGGACAGAGGUUCUAUUUUGUUGGUUUCUAGGACCGCUGUAAUGAUUAAUAGGGAUAGUCGGGGGCGUCCGUAUUCAAUUGUCAGAGGUGAAAUUCUUGGAUUUAUUGAAGACGAACUACUGCGAAAGCAUUCGCCAAGGAUGUUUUCAUUAAUCAGUGAACGAAAGUUAGGGGAUCGAAGACGAUCAGAUACCGUCGUAGUCUUAACCAUAAACUAUGCCGACUAGGGAUCGGACGGUGUUCUUUUUAUGACCCGUUCGGCACCUUACGAGAAAUCAAAGUGUUUGGGCUCGGGGGGAGUAUGGUCGCAAGGCUGAAACUUAAAGAAAUUGACGGAAGGGCACCACAAGGCGUAAACCAGCCGUAGUUAACUCUGCGCCUGAUAGGCACCUAGACAUCAAAUAGGUCGUGGUCAGUCCUCCACCUGUCGGGGGUGGGAAAAGCCUAGUCAACCUCUCUUUCGAGAGGGUGUUGGCGAGACCGUCAAAUUGCGGGGAAGCUUCCUGAACCAACGGACUACCGCUGCUCCCACCGAAAGGGGGGACGUAGCACCCGGGUAAUGCCCAGGGG